CGAGGAAACAGGAUCAGCUGAGGAAACUGGUGAGGAGUUGGGCAUGCGGGAGUCAAGUAUGGUGUGCAGUGAUGAUCAGCCACAGUGGGACCAGCAUGAAAGAACACGCAGAACACACCCAGGAGAACAAGCAAGGUGCCUUGACCAGCGUCUGGAAGGACUGGUCUGUUAUUCAAUUGAAAAGAGGUGGAGUUUCCAUUCAGCUGGCCAGAAUGGACCAGCCUGCCUUGGAGGACCCAGAAGAGAGAGAGUGACCUGAAGGGAAGAAGUGGGGCCAGAAGGUGACUUGGGUCCCUUUGGAGCAGGGAAGCCAGCACUGGUGGGUGUUCUCGGGGGUUUGUGACUGACUCAGGUUUCUAUUUUGUUCUUUAUUAUUUGUGCACGGGUUUUGUUUUUAUAAUAAAUGGCAAAAGAAAUAAUUUACAA